GGACUUUUUUUAUAUACCAUCAGAAUCUUUAUGUCUACAGAUCAGUUUUUGAAUCAUCGCCCUUCUAUUUCAGAAGUUGUAAAUCCCUUCAGGAAGUAAAGUCAUACUGUUAGAUAAUCUGUUUUAAUGUAAAGCCAUGAUUCCACAGAGGUUAGAUGGUCAGAUGAUCUGUUGUAACGCCAUGAUUCCCGAGGGUAGGGUUGAGGACAAGCGGGACUCUUGGAGGAAUGAGUCUGACAUAAGAACUGGUGUUUUUCACCUUGCCCGCCUCAGGGCUGCUCAUAGUACUUGGGGCCAGAGCCUGCGUGAAUACGUCUGUGUGGACCGUUCAGCUGCCAUGUUGGGUCUAGCUGAAAAGCUCCUUAAAGGUCCAGUUUGACGUAGUAGUAUCAGCCUUCGCCCUCAGUGAACUACCCAGCAGGGCCGAUCGCACUGAGGUACUUCAGAACUUGUGGCGUAAGACAAGCCAUUUUCUGGUAUUGGUGGAGAACGGAACAAAAGCUGGGCACCGACUUCUCAUGGACGCCAGGAACCUGAUCCUCGGGGACAAAGAGAAGUCGCCCCUGGACCUGCGACCUAGCUUUGUCUUUGCCCCAGUAAGUACUGCUUCCCCCUGUCCUGCUGCCCAGAUCCAGGCUUCAUUGUAGUCCGUGAAGAGCACUCUACACCCCCUCCAAUGGUUCCCUCUGCCUUCCCAGCCCCUUGUCCCCCUUGCUCCCUCCCUCCUGAUCCAAAGGAAGCUAACCGCUGGCCCCGAAUCACGCAGCCUGUUCUUAAACGGCCUCGCCAUGUGCAUUGUCACCUCUGUUGUCCAGAUGGGCACAUGCAGCACGCUGUGGUCACAGCCCGUCGGCACGGCAGGUAGAGGAGAUACGGCCAUCUGAGUGAGUGUAGCAAGAGCCCGCAGCCCACUGAACACCUCUCUCUCUCUCACGCCGCAGGGAUUUAUAUCGCUGUGCCCGCGUCAGCUCCUGGGGAGACCUUUUACCUGUGAUCUCUCCAUCCGAGUUUCCUCCUCCGUCCCCGGCUGAAGAGCCCCCUGAGAGUUGACAAGGAUAUUCCUCCGUCACACCUGCCAAGGGCAAAGCUACCUGGUCCAGGAAGACAGCUCUGGUACCCCUGUGCUUGUAUUUGUUUGAAAUUUUAAUAAUAAAUGUUUUUAA
rnacentral:lncRNA from 1 species